UGUAUUUCAGUUGUCUGUUGGAUGGUGGCUUUCCAGGAAUUUCUGCUUUGUUCUAUGUUGGCAUGUGGUAUCUUCCAAAAUGAGGCCUGGCUUAGGAUGGCACAUGAGCACGCAUGGUUAUGGCACAGCAUGGGCACUGUGAAGCUACAGGAUGUCAGACUAAGCACAUGCUUCUGCUGCUUAGGAAAGGACAGCCUUGGCAUCAUUGAAUUUUGGAGAGAUGCUGUUAUUCUCCACGCACCUUGUCCUUGUGACAAUACUCAUUGUUAGCUGUGUCUUCUGGGCUGCCACAGUUCGGGAUCAGCUUGAUGAAAGCCAUCAGCAGGUCUACAAAGUGCCAGAGAUUGUUUGACACAGAACUCUGUCUUGGGCACGGUUCUCAUGUUGAUUCAGCUGUAAAGCAAUGAAAAGCAGACCAAAAGGAGGGAUGGAGGGAUGGAUAGCAAAGUCUCAUCUGUUAGUGCUGUCUACCUGGGCUGCUUUGGCUGUGUUGGCAGACUGAAAAUAAACCAUCACUAAGAAGAAAAAGGGUGUGACCUCAGCUGUAGGAAGAGCUGUGCCCUAUUCAUGUAAAGGAAGUUUCUGUACAACUUACGCACAAGUUUUCUCCGUUACAGCAGGGCUCACACUUAGGCAUGUAGUUAGAGCAUUUACAUUAUCUUUUUUCCUAAGAGCAAACUUAAAAACUGCAGUUCAGUCAACAUCAAAGCUUAUAUCAAAACAAAACGGAGGAUUUUUUGCUACGUUACUUAGUGUUGAAUUUCUAAUAAAAACCAAACCAAAAAGCAAACAACUCACAAAGCAAAAAUAAACAAAACCAAACAAAAAAUCACAAAAAAAUACAGCAACAAAAAGCCAAAAACAAAAAAAGCAAUCAAACAAUCCCAAACCAAAACAACGUGAUAGGAGUGGGGGCAAAUAUGAGAUAAUAGGAAGCUCCAGUUUCAUUCACUUCACAGAAGAGGGUCUCUACACAAUGCUAGCUUGCUCUUACUGUGAAAUACUCCACUGCUGUUACGACACCCGUAAGCUUGUGAAUGAGAUUCUAACUAUGAAUUACUUAUCAUCCUUUUUUUUUUUUUUUGUCAUCUUCUAUUUGGAAGAUACAAAUACAAAUGUCUUUUAAUGUGCUUCUAAAGUUCAAAAGGAAUGACCUCUGUGCAGAUUUAAUUAUCUGAAAGUCUCCUACUCUGCUAUACUUCUAAUGUUUGUGGAGCAACUAGCUGUCAUUUAGCUCGAUUUAACCAACUUACUGAUACCAGUUAAUUGGAUAAUGAGCCACAGGCAAGCUUUAGGCAUCUGACAACUAUUUUCCUCUUUUCAUCGUUUACUGUGAGUGAAAAUAUAAUAGAACUUCCCCAAAUAUUCAGAUGGUAUAUGCCUAUUUUAAUCAAUUCGAAUUGUAAUGAUUUAAUUCAUUCUUGCUGUCCCUAAUUGUCCUCUAAUCAACUGUUAGACGAUUAUUUGACCACUCAGGAUGACUGAAAAUUUCCACAUGUUGCAUUAACAGCAUGGCUGGAUCCAGCAGGACUGUGGAUGUUUAUCAUUAGUUGGUAUUUUUAAAGUUAAUCAUUAAUCUAGUAUGUUGUCAUUUGCCAUUUUAGGAAUGAUUUUUUUUUUCUUUUUUUUUCUGGCUUUGUAAGCCUUUGUAACAGACUCCCAAAUGUUCUUUGACAAAAGAUGCUGCACAGACCAAUGGGAAUAUUAGCAGUGUGCUUCCCAAACAGACUUUGUCCUCUGCUUAAAAAUAAAUGCAAAGAAAAUUCCUUGCAAAGGUAUUAAACAUUUAACAGCCUUAAAAAUGGUUAUUUAAAUAACUGAGGGGCUCAUUUCCUUAAUCAAGAAGGCUUUUAGAUUAAUUUUUGCAAGAUUUUAAUUAUUCUGUUGUAUGUAAUGGUAAUAUUCCUCUUCAGAUAUUCACAUAUGCUGAUCUCAACAUCAAAACUAUAAAAGUUAACUUUACAAAGCAUUCAGCAAGCUUUCUGAUAAAUCUAAUACUUGUUGUUUUGUUGUUGGUUGAAUUAGUAUUUGACCCAUAUCCGCCUGCUGGCUUCCUGCUCCCAUCUAGAUAUACUAGUGAGUUAAGCCAUACUGAGCCUACUGAUUUUGAGAGGAGGAUGUGGCUUUCAGCAGCAGCCCAUGGCUCCUGGACUUCUGAUAGCGUGAUGGACUUCCAGAAUUCCUGGUGCUCACACCCUGUGCAUCUCAGAGGUAUCUUAUUUGUGAGCAGAUGAUGCUGAAAUGCCUGUGUUACUGCAUACACUGGGAUCAGUUCUUGGGAGCUGAAAUCUCUCAGUUUCACAGCUUAGCAGCAGUGGAUCUGUGACUUCUGAAUCUGUCUACCGCUUUUUCAUGUGCAGUGUAAGUACAUGCUUAGAGUAAUAAAAGGUAUGUACUGAAGGAAGAUGGUGUUUUUUCAGGUUGAUAGUACUGUUGCUUAUUUCAAAGUAUGCAAUUUAGACUUGUUCUUAUCAGGAAAAAUGUAGCAGUGAGAAAGUUUAUGUUUAUGUUAGCUGAAAAUAAGUGUGAGACUUGUAAAGUUAUAAUGUGUGUUUUGCAACAACUGGUGUUUUCUCUUUUGAGGGGAUUAUUGAAAUGCUUUACAGCUGCUUUCUGUGAUGGCCUGCAGCACAUUAUUGAGGGUUCAUUAUUUUGUCAAAGCCUGUAAAAUAUGGACUCUACAGGAGUGAUGAUGAGGCACACAGCAAGUUGAUAAGGAGUCAGUCCCUUUGCAUGGGGCUAGGAGGAAAAAAUCUACAAUAGAUACAAAUAGAAAGGAAAAUACAAGACCCUUUGAGAAUCUACCAGCAGUACUGGUUCUAAAUUUGUUUUGGACAAAUUGGAUUUGUUGCUUUUCAGUUUUCCUUCUGUAAACUCUCCUGUGACUUUAUUGUCAGUUGAAGUGUUUAUUGACUGAGAAGCGCUUGCAUUUUAGUGAUGGAUAUGGUGAUCUUGGUAAACACUUUGGGGCAAUAUUGUGGUGCAAUAUGCUGUGUAAGUUUUUAUGUCAUGUAAUGGAGUGGGCAGACACUUAUUUAAAUAAAAAUUAGAAUAGAGAUCUCA